GCCGGGCGUGGUGGCGCAUGCCUGUAGUCCCAGCUGCUCGGGAGGCUGAGGCAGGAGGAUUGCUUGAACCUGGGAGGCGGAGAUUGCAGUGAGCCAAGAUCGCACCACUGCACUCCAGCCUGGGUGACAGAGUGAGACUCUGUCUCAA
ensembl:misc_RNA Metazoa_SRP Metazoan signal recognition particle RNA